rnacentral:rRNA from 1 species
AUACGGAGGAUGCGAGCGUUAUCCGGAUUUAUUGGGUUUAAAGGGUGCGCAGGCGGGCGAUUAAGUCAGCGGUGAAAGGCUCGGGCUCAACCGGAGCAGUGCCGUUGAUACUGGUUGUCUUGAAUGCGGUCAAGGCCGGCGGAAUGUGGCGUGUAGCGGUGAAAAGCAUAGAUAUGCCACAGAACACCGAUCGAGAAGUCAGGUCACGAGCUCGCAACUGACGCUCAGGCACGAAAGCGUGGGGAUCAAACAGGCUUAGAUACCCUGGUAGUCCACGCUGUAAACGAUGAUUACUCGUUGUUGGGGGGCGACCCUCAGCGGCCAAGCGAAAGCAAUAAGUGAUCCACCUGGGGAGUACGAUCGCAAGGUUGAAACUUAAAGGAAUUGACGGGG